rnacentral:rRNA from 1 species
UACGGAGGGUGCAAACGUUGCUCGGAAUCAUUGGGCGUAAAGCGCACGUAGGCGGCCUGUUAAGUCGGGUGUGAAAGCCCUGGGCUCAACCCAGGAAGUGCAUUCGAAACUGGCAGGCUUGAAUAUGGAAGAGGGUCGCGGAAUUCCCGGUGUAGAGGUGAAAUUCGUAGAUAUCAGGAGGAACACCGGUGGCGAAGGCGGGUCUCUGGGCAGUAACUGACGCUGAGGAACGAAAGCGUGGGUAGCAAACAGG